UACGAAGGGUGCAAGCGUUACUCGGAAUUACUGGGCGUAAAGGGUGCGUAGGUGGUUUGUUAAGUCUGCUGUGAAAUCCCCGGGCUCAACCUGGGAAUGGCAGUGGAUACUGGCAAGCUAGAGUGCGGUAGAGGGUAGUGGAAUUCCCGGUGUAGCAGUGAAAUGCGUAGAUAUCAGGAGGAACACCUGCGGUGUAGACGGCUUUCUGGACCAUUGCUGACGCUGAGACACGAAAGCGUGGGUAGCAAACAGG
rnacentral:rRNA from 1 species